UACAGAGGUGGCAAGCGUUGUUCGGAAUCACUGGGCGUAAAGGGCGUGUAGGCGGUCUGCCAAGUCUGAUGUGAAAGCCCGGGGCUCACCCCCGGAAGGGCAUUGGAAACUGGCGACUCGAGUCCCGGAGAGGAGCGCGGAAUUCCCGGUGUAGCGGUGAAAUGCGUAGAGAUCGGGAGGAAGGCCGGUGGCGAAGGCGGCGCUCUGGAACAUUUCUGACGCUGAGGCUCGAAAGCGUGGGGAGCAAACAGG
rnacentral:rRNA from 1 species